rnacentral:tRNA from 1 species
GCCCCCGUAGCGCAACGGAUAGCGCAUCUGACUUCGAAUCAGAGGGUUACAGGUUCAAAUCCUGUCGGGGGUA